GGGGGGUAUGCAAGUGCGGUUGCUUUUUAAGUGCGGCGACGGGUGAGAACACGUGGGCAACCUGCCUGUAAGACUGGGAUAACUUCGGGAAACCGGAGCUAAUACCGGAUAAUCCUUUUCUACUCAUGUAGAAAAGCUGAAAGACGGUUUACGCUGUCACUUACGAUGGGCCCGCGGCGCAUUAGCUAGUUGGUGAGGUAACGGCUCACCAAGGCGACGAUGCGUAGCCGACCUGAGAGGGUGAUCGGCCACACUGGGACUGAGACACGGCCCAGACUCCUACGGGAGGCAGCAGUAGGGAAUCUUCCGCAAUGGACGAAAGUCUGACGGAGCAACGCCGCGUGAGUGAUGAAGGUUUUCGGAUCGUAAAACUCUGUUGUUAGGGAAGAACAAGUACGAGAGUAACUGCUCGUACCUUGACGGUACCUAACCAGAAAGCCACGGCUAACUACGUGCCAGCAGCCGCGGUAAUACGUAGGUGGCAAGCGUUGUCCGGAAUUAUUGGCGUAAAGCGCGCGCAGGGCGGUCCUUUAAGUCUGAUGUGAAAGCCACGGCUCACCGUGAGUCAUGGAAACUGGGGACUUGAUUGCAGAAAAAAGUGCAAUACCACGUGUAGCGUGAAUGCUACAUGUGGAGAACCAGUGGCGAGCACUCUUGUCUGACCUGACCUAGCGCCGACUGAGACAAACGGAUUACCUGGA
rnacentral:rRNA from 1 species